UGGUACGUACAGCUGUUGCAUGGCUGUCGUCAGCUCGUGACGUGAGUUGUUCUCUUAAGUGAGGUACGAGCGCAACCCCGUUCUGUGUUAUUGUGUCACAGAAGACUGCCUAGCAUUAUUUUGUUAGGAGGAAGGAGGGGACGACGUCAAGUCAUCAUGAUGCUUAUAUCCAGGGCUACACACAUCCUACAAUGGGCUAUAACAGAGGGUUGCAAGACCGCAAGGUGGAGCUAAUCCCUAAACUAGCCCUCAGUUGGGAUUGCAGGCUGAAACUCGCCUGCAUGAACCCGGAAUUGGUAGUAAUCGCACAUCAGCAGCGUGCGGUGAAUACGUUCUCGCCUCUU
rnacentral:rRNA from 1 species